GAUGAACGCUGGCGGCGUGCCUAAUACAUGCAAGUCGAGCGAAUGGAUUAAGAGCUUGCUCUUAUGAAGUUAGCGGCGGACGGGUGAGUAACACGUGGGUAACCUGCCCAUAAGACUGGGAUAACUCCGGGAAACCGGGGCUGAUACCGGAUAAUAUUUUGAACUGCAUGGUUCAAAAUUGAAAGGCGGCUUCGGCUGUCACUUAUGGAUGGACCCGCGUCGCAUUAGCUAGUUGGUGAGAUAACGGCUCACCAAGGCAACGAUGCGUAGCCGACCUGAGAGGGGGAUCGGCCACACUGGGACUGGGAAACGGCCCAGACUCCUACGGGAGGCAGCAGUAGGGAAUCUUCCGCAAUGGACGAAAGUCUGACGGAGCAACGCCGCGUGAGUGAUGAAGGCUUUCGGGUCGUAAAACUCUGUUGUUAGGGAAGAACAAGUGCUAGUUGAAUAAGCUGGCACCUUGACGGUACCUAACCAGAAAGCCACGGCUAACUACGUGCCAGCCGCCGCAGUAA
rnacentral:rRNA from 1 species